GCAGAAAGUAUGUCUCGCUUAGUCGCAGA
rnacentral:sRNA from 1 species